rnacentral:rRNA from 1 species
UACGUAGGUCGCAAGCGUUGUCCGGAUUUACUGGGCGUAAAGAGCGCGCAGGCGGCUGGUCAAGUCCGAUGUGAAAUCUCCCGGCUCAACUGGGAAACUGCAUCGGAAACUGAUCGGCUUGAAGAUGGGAGAGGGUAGUGGAAUUCCCGGUGUAGUGGUGAAAUGCGUAGAUAUCGGGAGGAACACCAGUGGCGAAGGCGACACGCUGGGCCGUACCUGACGCUAAAACGCGACAGCAUGGGGAGCGAACGGG